AUUGAACGCUGGCGGCAUGCCUUACACAUGCAAGUCGAACGGCAGCGGACCUUCGGGUGCCGGCGAGUGGCGAACGGGUGAGUAAUAUAUCGGAACGUACCUUUCAGUGGGGGAUAACGUAGCGAAAGUUACGCUAAUACCGCAUAUUCUGUGAGCAGGAAAGCAGGGGAUCGCAAGACCUUGCGCUGAUUGAGCGGCCGAUAUCAGAUUAGCUAGUUGGUGAGGUAAAGGCUCACCAAGGCGACGAUCUGUAGCGGGUCUGAGAGGAUGAUCCGCCACACUGGAACUGAGACACGGUCCAGACUCCUACGGGAGGCAGCAGUGGGGAAUUUUGGACAAUGGGCGCAAGCCUGAUCCAGCCAUGCCGCGUGAGUGAAGAAGGCCUCGGU
rnacentral:rRNA from 1 species